AUGUAUACGGUUAGAGAGGGGGAGAGAAAUUUCAAUCCUCCUUGUAUACGCCUCUCUCUCUCUCUCUCUCUCUCUCUCUCUCUCUCUCUCUCUCUCUCUCUCUCUCUCUCUCUCUCUCUAAAAGCAAGAUCCCAUACUCUUCAGCUGGCUUAUUUAUACGGCGGGCCUCACCUCCUCUGCUUCCUCCACAAGUGCAGCCGCAGCCACACUAGCUACGUACUUUGCCUGACUCCUCCAGUUUCAUGUGUGUGCCAGCUUCUUGGUGCUUGCAUAGUGAUCGAUGGACGACGCAAACAAGCCUCAGCGGCCGCAGCAGGAGGAGGAGCAGAAGCCCAUGAGCGAGGACAAGACGACGAUGAUGAAGGUCUUGUCGGAGGACGGCGGUGGCGAGGCCGAACCGUCGUGGGAGUCCGGGGACGGCGACGCCGCCGACCACAACCACCGGGGAUGGAAGGCCAUGCCGUACGUCAUAGUUCUAGAGAUGCAGGGAGGGAGGGACGUCCAUGGAUUGGACUGCAAGGAUUAGAUGCAAACCAAUGCACAUGA
rnacentral:rRNA from 1 species